UAGGCGAACGGUGAGCUUUUAUGUAUUCGAGGGAACCAGCCCGGACACAUUCCUCUUCACAGUGGGCUCAGAUGAGGCACUUUCAAGCGAGGCGAAAUUCCACUACACCGACUAUGAGAACUGCGCUGUCCUCGACAUCCCGUACAACGGACGCCAAUGCAGCUUGUGGAGCACGGAAACAAGCAAGGACUCGUUACCUGAUAAAUGCCUGGAUGAGUUCGUGAAGCAUUGUGGAGUCGGCAUACCGCUUUACAGCAAGGACCUUUGCAGUGAAGAUGAAGUGGCGGAAUGGUGAUGU
rnacentral:lncRNA from 1 species